CCUCUGCCUUCCCUGUCUCUGUCACUGCCUGCUGGGCCUGACUCCCGGCAGUCUGCCCAGUGCUCUUCUGGAGGGUUCCCCUCCAUUUCCCAGUGCGGACUAAAGUCCUUGUACCACAUCUGUCUCUGCUCAGACCCCGCUACAGUCUGGGAAGUGCCCUUGUUCUGGCUGCAUCUUUGCUUUGGUUUGUGGCCUAAACCUCUGACACCUUUCUCUGUUUUCCAACUCCAGUGCUUCCCAGUGCCUCAGCUUCGUGGCCCAAGACGCAUGCUGCUCACACAGCAUCGAUUGCAUGAAAGGAGCGAAGCAGUUGGCUCUGUCUCCGUCCUGAGGGUCCCUCAGCGGUGCUCAUGGAGCAUGGCCUCAGGGCCUCAGCUGCACAGCACAGUCAUUUGGGGGCUUUGAAAAAGCUCCAAGGCCCGUGCCUCAGCCCAGAACAAUUAAGUCAAAACUUCUGGGGCUCUGACCUAGUUAUUAGCAGUUUUUAAAGCUUGUCAAGUGAUUCCUACAUGCAGCCAAGAAGGGGAAUAGCUUUGCUCUGUCAUGCUCCUUCUAUGAUGCAUUGACUGACCACAGGCCCAAAGCAAUGGGGCUGAUGAACCAUGGACAGAAACCUCCAAAAUGAUUUUAUUUAUCUAACAAAUAUCGAGCGAAUAUUUCAUAUGCACCAGGAAUUAUUCCAACUGCUUGGGACUCAACAGUGAACAGAAACAUACAGGAUCCGGACUGAAGCUCUUUACCCAGGGAGGAGGCCGAAUGUCAACGUAAGGUAGGAAGAGGAGCUGCCAAGAGGGACUGAGCACAGUGCAUGGAGCGUGGGACCAUCAGGGCUGACCCUUCCCAAGGGCAGACUGGCAGAUGCGCAGUGUUGAGGAGGUUUGCAGAGAGCAGAGAGGAGUUCAGCUGCAGGAGAUUUGAAACACUUGAUCCCAGAGUUUAUUCUCAUACUGGAACUCACUUUUUGAAAGCAUCCGAUCUUGGCUCAUUCCAGCAUUAGCCAGAUCUACCUUCCACCUCUCUCCAAGCCUCCUUGAUGCUAUAGUGUCUCAGGAAGAAACGAAAAGUGAACUUACCUCAAGGAAGGAUCGUAAAAGUUGGAAGGACUUGUUCCAUGCCUGACUUUCUUUCUCUAGCAUCUCUCACUGUGUUUUCAAUAGACACAUCCAUAAACAUUUCCAGGAAAUGAGUAUUCCUAAGUGUUAUUAGCUUAUAAAGGUUAUAUUGUUUCUUGCUAUGUACACACACAGACACACAUACACACAGGACUUAAACAGAUGGACAUGUCUGUGUUGGGUUCUGUUGUGUCCAUUGACAAGAGACUUUGCCAAAGCUGUUCAUUCAUCACGCUGACUCACAGACAAGUGGCUUUCUUGGGCUUGUAUACACCAUCAGGCCUCUUUGAUCUGGUUACCAUGUUUUUUUGAAAACUUUUGAUUUUUCCAAAACAGGAAAAAAUGCAGUUUACUUUUUAGGGCAGAGAUAGUGGUGAGGCGAGUUAUUUAUGAGUUAUUGCAAAAUACCACAAGGAACAGCAUCCCGGGGAGGAAAGGGCAACUGGGUUACCUGCUGACAGCUCCCUGGAUGCGUUAGGGAAGUGUGUUCCAACAAGGCCUGGGGCAACAGUGAAUAAAACCACACGCUGUGCAGAAAACACUGACUUUGGAAGUAGGAGGGAUUUCCUUUCUUUGUCUAGACAUUUAGAGCUUGCAACAUGAACGAUUUUGGUGAAAUAGUCAGUGAUGGAAGAUGUAUUAUUAUGACAGUUGCUCAUCAUGCUUAUAUAUUUUAAUUUAGGAUUAUCAGCACCAGAUACUCUUUUUUUUGGUACCGGGGAUCGAACUUGGGUCCUUGCACUUCCAAGGCAAGCGACGGAACCACUGGGCUAAAUCCCCGGCCCAGCACCAGAUACUCUUGACACAAUUAUUUCUUAUUCACUUUAGGGUCCUGUCAUUUCAGCCU